AUUGAACGCUGGCGGCAUGCUUUACACAUGCAAGUCGAACGGCAGCACGGGUGCUUGCACCUGGUGGCGAGUGGCGAACGGGUGGGUAAUGCAUCGGAACGUAUCCAAUAAUGGGGGAUAACGCACCGAAAGGUGUGCUAAUACCGCAUACGCCCUGAGGGGGAAAGGGGGGGACCGGAAGGCCUCACGUUAAUGGAGCGGCCGAUGCCUGAUUAGCUAGUUGGUGAGGUAAAGGCUCACCAAGGCGACGAUCAGGAGCGGGUCUUAGAGGACGACCAGCCACACUGGGACUGAGACACGGCCCAGACUCCUACGGGAGGCAGCAGUGGGGAAUUUUGGACAAUGGGCGCAAGCCUGAUCCAGCCAUGCCGCGUGAGUGAAGAAGGCCUUCGGGUUGUAAAGCUCUUUCGCAAGGAAAGAAAACUUAUCCCCUAAUACGGGAUGAGGAUGACGGUACCUUGAUAAGAAGCACCGGCUAACUACGUGCCAGCCGCCGCCGUAA
rnacentral:rRNA from 1 species